AGAGAGAGAGGGAGGGAGGGAGAGAGUGUGUGUUUGGUUGAAGCAAUUCACGUCUCUCUGUUGGUGUUUGGGGAUGAUGACUCGCUCCUCUUCACGUCUUCAUUCUUUCUUCAAACUCAAAUGUAAUUUCAUCACCAACUCUGUAACAACCCCUCUUUCGUCUUCCAGAUUAGGUUUAGAUUUCAGUCCUCACUCCACUUCUUUACCUUCUCUUCUUCACUCCACUUCCUUUUCAAACAAUGGGGAUCGUCCUCUGUCUAGGUAUCAAAAACUUACCAGCUUGGAUCAUGCCUUUAACCUGUUCGAUGAAAUGAUCCUGAGAACACCCCUCCCAUCUGUUGUUAAGUUUACUCAGUUGUUAAAUGCUGUUGCCAAAUUGAAACAUUUUUCUUCUUGCCUCCAUCUGUUUAAACAAAUGUGCGUUAUUGGGGUUCCAGUUAGUGAGUACUCUAUGAAUAUUGCCAUCAGGUGUUGUUGUCAGAUGUCUCGCACCAACGACGGUUUUGCACUCCUGGGCUGUUGCUUCAGGCGAGCUGUUGUGCCAGAUGUCUGCACAUUUAAUACACUCUUAGAUGGACUCAUUCGUGAAGAUAGGAUUGUUCAGGCUGAGAGACUCUUCAAGAAGCUCAUCAAACAUAAACUAUGUGAACCUGAUGUAGUUAUGUAUUCCACAAUGAUCAAAGGGCUUUGCAAGUUUGGCAACAACGAUAUUGCCAUUGGUUUGCUUAGGCUCAUGGAUGAAAGAGGCUGUAAGCCUGAUAUUUAUGCAUAUAAUACCAUCAUUGAUAGUCUUUGCAAGGACAAAAUGAUAGAGGAUGCUUUCAAGCUUUUUAAUGAAAUGGUAUUUGCCAAAGGCAUUCAACCAGAUGUCAUCACAUACACCUCUCUGAUUUAUGGCCUUUGUAACUUGUGUCGUUGGGACGAGGUCUCUAAGCUGCUAAAAGAAAUGGAGGAUCUAAGGAUCUCUCCUAGUUUUCAAACAUUUAGCAUAUUAGUUGAUGCAUUUUGCAAGGAAGGUAGUGUGGAUGAAGCGGAGGCUGUUAUAGACAUCAUGGUUGAGAGAGGUGAGGUUCCUAACAUAGUGACAUACAAUUCGCUUAUAAAUGGUUACUGCCUGCAAGGUGAAAUGAGCAAAGCAAAGACACUUCUUGAUUCAGUUAUGUCUAGAGGUCUCAUCCCUGAUGUUAUUACUUAUAACAGUUUAUUGAAUGGGUAUUGCAAGAGUUUGAAGAUAGAAGAGGCCAUACAUAUGUUUCAUGAAGUAACAAGAAAAGGUUUGAACCCCGAUAUGAUCUUUUACAACACCAUGAUACAAGGUUUAUUUAGCGUUGGACGUUGUGGAGAUGCAUGCCAACUCUUUGAUGAGAUGCAAGCACAAGGUCAAACUCCAAAUGAAUACACCUAUGGAAUAAUAUUAGAUGGGCUUUGCAGCAACCACCAAGUUGAAGAAGCGCUCUCUUUGUUUCAUUUGGUGGGUGAUAGCAAACUAAAAAAUAAUAUUGUGGUGUAUAGUAUCCUUAUUGACGGGGCAGGAAAAUGUGGAAAGCUUGAUAUCGUAAGGGCUCUCUUUCAUGAACUUCAUGUAAAAGGUUUGCAACCUGAUGUUCGGACAUAUACCGCAAUGAUUCGUGGCUUUUGUCGGGUUGGUCUACUAAGGGAAGCAAAGAAUUUGUUUCUUAAAAUGGGUGAGAGGGGCUGCCCACCAGAUAAUGUUAGUUACUGUGUUCUUCUCCAUGGAUAUCUUAAGAACCAGCAUUUCGAUGAUGUGGAGAUUCUUUUACAGCAAAUGGGUAGAAGAAGUUACUCACUUGAUGCUUCUACUUUAUCAUUGUUAAAAGAUCGAAUCGCAGCUGGUUCAUUAGAUAGAGGUUUACUUAAGUUGAUUGGUAUGCUUGUGCCAAAAGAGUUGAUGGACAGUUUUACAGGUAGGGAGAAGAAGCUGAAUGGUGAGUGUGGGUUAUGAAUCAGGGGUACUACCUUGCAACAUCGCGUGAAAUAACGCGACUUGACUAUUACAAGGCGAGUUUAUUAAAGAAAAUGUUGAUCGUGUCGAUGGAAAUCUCCGAAUGGAUUUCCACAACAAUGGGUCGAAUCAUUGGCGAAGCCACGCCCCCCCGAAUGUUCGCGAAACCGGGGGGGCGGCAACGUAUAUACCUAUACGAAAGUACUAUUCAUAACACUACGCAUCGAAAAGUUCGGGGGGUCGGGCGCCCCCCCGGAGAUACCUUAUCCUUCGCCCAUGGGUCGAAUGGAGUUUGUUGGAAGUUUGUUUCUUUGUGUUUCCACUGUUUUCAUGAUCCUGUUACCCAGCAACGUCAUUAAACCCGAGGAUGUUGGAUUGUCACUUUCAUACAGAUUAUCGCUCAAUGGUCUUCUGUUUUGGGUUUUAUACACUAGUUGCUUUGUUGAAAACCGAAUGGUUUCGGUUGAGAGGAUAAAACAGUUUACAAACAUACCAUCAAAAGCAGAAUGGGUGAAGAAAGACAAGUCCCCUCCUCCAAACUGGCCAACUCAUGGCAGUUUGGAGCUCAGAAACUUGCAGGUAACCCGCAAAUUCUAUCAUCAUGUAGAGGUUUUAACGUGUGGGUUUGGGUUAUAAUGGGUCAAAUGGGUAAAAUCAAGAAAUAAUGCUAAAAGGAUUGGGUCGAACAAGUUGAAAGAUGCCUAAAAUGUAUUCGUAAUGCAUUUAGAUAGAUUUAUGCAAACUCUGGACAAAAAGUAUUUUGGUUCAACCCCAAGAACUAGUCCUUUUUGAAGGAACUGUGAGAAGCAACAUUGACCCUAUUGGUCAACAUUCUGAUGACGAGAUAUGGAAGGUAAAUGCAAGUUUGUUUGUUUUUUUCUUCUACUCCAUUCGGGUAGAUCCAGAGGUGGAAAAUUCAUAAGUCAACUCGGGUUUUAGUUUUCUUUAAAUCAGGCCAUUCUGACCCAUUAUGCAACCUGCCUUUAGUAGGACGGGCCCAUCUUUUAUCAACUUUGAAACACCAACCUGAGAACCUGCUUUGUAGAGUCUCAAACGCUGCCAGCUCAAUGAGGUAGCUGCAAAACCUGGAAAACUUCAUUCCGCAGUUGUUGAUAAUGGCGAUAAUUGGAGCGUUGGACAAAGACAACUUCUCUGUCUGGGAAGGGUGUUGCUAAAACAAAGCAGAACAUUAUGCGUUGUGCGGAUAAACAAUAAUUAUGUUGUUAUUGUAUAUGGUGAAACAAAUCCUUACACUUACUGAUACUAGUGCUUUGAAACGGCAAAUAUGAUACUAUAAGGAUAUAUAUGAAAUUUUAAACUUUUGAGUGCCAUUAUGGAAUUUAACCUGUGUUGUAACACCUGCCAUUGAGGUCAAGUUAGUUCCUUUGAAGGUCAGCUAAUGACCAACUUAUUCUCUGUGUUGUAACAGGGUAUGCAAAAGAAUUUGACGAGCCUUCACGUUUGAUUCAGAAGCCCUCUCUUUUUGGGGCGUUGGUUCAGAAUUACGCAAACCGAUCAUCUAGGUUAUGAACACAUGUUUAUACUCCUAUAAUCGAAGGGUUUAAUUUUCUUUAAAGUUUAUAUUAUGUUGCUUUUUUUUAUAUGUGAUGACAUGCAAUUUGUAGGAUUUCAUAUAUAUUUGCUUGUUGGAAUCAAACUUUACAAUAAAACAAGCAAAUAUAUAUUGAAAUCCUUACAAACCGUUCAAAACAGAGAAUUUAGAAAUCUAUGUUAUGUAUCAUGUGUUUGUA